rnacentral:rRNA from 1 species
CGAGAGCCGAAGGAGAGGAAAGAAGCAAGCGAUUGCCGAACAAGCAAGUUAAGCUCCUUAGCGUCGAUGGUAGUCGAACUUACGUUCCGCUAGAGUAGAACGUUGCCAGGCA